AUUAAAGCAAACUUCAAAUGAAAUCGGCCGUGAGAAAUUUCUACAAUGCGUGUGGGACUGGAAAAACAGCAAAAGUGUAAGGAUUAAUGAACAAAUGAGAAAACUUGGCGCAUCGUUAGAUUGGUCGAAAGAAAUAUUCACUCUGGACGAGUUGCAAAGUAAUUCUGUCAUGGAAGCUCUUAUUAAACUUUGGGAUAAAGGUUUAAUAUAUAGAGACGAAACAAUUUUAAACUGGUCGUGCGCUCUUAAAACGACAAUAUCUGAUAUAGAAGUAGAGCAUGUUUUAAUUGACGGGUUGGUUCGAUGAGCCAGUCGUGUUUGGACAAAUCAUUGAUUUUUCAUAUAAAAUCGAUUCGAAUGAAGAAAUCGUUGUAUCUACAACAAGGGUUGAGACCAUGCUUGGCGAUGUAGCUGUAGCGGUACAUCCUGAUGAUGAACGUUAUAUUAAUUUUAUUGGGAAAAAUGUCAUCCACCCUUUUAACGGAUGUGUUUUACCUAUAAUAUCGGAUGAUACUGUUGAUCCAAAAUUUGGAACAGGUGGUGUUAAAAUAACCCCAGCGCAUGAUCCAAGAGACUUUUUAAUAGCAAAAAGGCAUAAUUUGCCAACUAAAACUGUUAUCAAUGAAAAUGGCUAUCUUUCUGAUAAAUGUUUUGACUUUUCAGGUAUUCAUAGAUUCCAUGCUCGACAAACACUGAUUAAAGUACUAGAAGAGAAAGGGUUGCUGAGAUCUAUCAAACCUCACAGUUUUCAACUUCCAAUUUGGCAACCGACCAGCAGCCUUAUGCGGAGCAUAUGCUAAAUGUAAUGGUUGAAAUCAGUGAUUAUCAAAAUUUAUCAGCAGCAGGAAAUUAUGUUCAGCGACCAUCUUCGCCGCCGGUGACUAAAUUUGAAAAGCAUGGCCAACAGUUAGGUCAUGGUAUUAAAAUUAAAUUAAAUUUGAGAGGAUAAAUUAUGUCCAAGCAACGUAGCCUUCAUUUACAUAAAAAACUAUAAAUUUCAAGAGGUUGGUUUCUCUGUAAAAUGAUUUUUUGCGGGUACAAAAAAUCCGAUAAAGUAUUGCAUUUCUUCGCUAAAACGUUUAGAAAGUGUUUUUUCAAGGCAUGUUUUUGCUAAUUUAAACUCAGUUAAGAGCAGAUAAUUCUUCUAAAUUUUUUUCAAUAGGCAUAGAGUGCAUCAGCUUGUUUAACACCCGUCCUUGCUUGGUAUGACAUUCAUCAUCUAAAAUCGGCUGAAAAUCUUUUUCCUAAAAACUCCUUUUACCUGGACCUCAAAUAUUGGAAUUCAGUCCUUGGGAAACAUCAUUCGGCGUAAUUAACAACUAGAUAUUUUUGAAAAACAGUUUAAUUUGAAAGCUUGAUGUUUAACAAACUCAAAUAUGUAACUUGAGCUUUUUGACAGCUAACUGAUUUAUACAAUAAUACGUUCAAUAACAUUGCAGUUUACUUCAAAGAAAUAGUUCAGAUAGGAAAGUCAUGUGAAACAAACAUGUCUUUUAAAAACACCCAUAUUAAUAGUUGUAAAAGAUUAAAUAAAACAAAGUCUAAUAUUUAAAGAUAAUUUUAUUGCCCUACUCUGUCUACAAUAAACUACAGUGCACAUGCUUAAAAAAACAACUGUUUUUUUUUUCCUUUUUUUGGUUUUUAUAAUCUAAAAAUAAUAUAUGGGUAAGAAUGAAAAAUAUUACAUCUCUGAUUUAGUUAUAAAGUUAUAAACUAAAAAGCUUACAAUACGCUUUUUUUUUUUUUUUUAAUU
rnacentral:misc_RNA from 1 species